CUUCGGGCACUUGCUGUGGGCAGAUAAAGUGAAUAUGCGAGUCAAUCGCACCAGCGGUGACGAUCUUUCCCUCACCUGCAACGACAUCAGUGCAGCUGCCGACAACCAUUCCUUCUGUUACGCCGUCCAUAACGUCCGGAUUACCUGCUUUUCCGAUACCCACGAUCAUACCCUCCUUGACUCCAAUAUCUGCCUUAUAGAUACCUGUCCAGUCCACGAUGAGAGCGUUUGUCACUACGAGAUCAAGAGUCUCGGCAUCUGUUCUUCCAGUCGCCUGACCCAUUCCCUCGCGCAG
rfam:Fusarium poae strain 2516 chromosome FPOA_1 Chr1, whole genome shotgun sequence.